ACUAAAUAAAAGAAGGGGUAUAAAUACCCCCUCCCAACCCUUCCUCCCUCAGUCUUUUUGUUGGCAUUCUAUCCCUAUAGGACAAUCAUGUUCAUUCCAGGACUAAAAGAUUUUUACUUAUGGCUUACCUGAGGGUAGCUACUCUCAGCCUCAAGAGAGUUCAGCCUCUCCUUCUUGGGAAGUAAUCAGUACGUGUCCCUGCUCAAAGAUGUCCCCCUGAAGAUACCCCUUUAGUGACCAUGGGUUUAAACUUACUUUGACCCAUGGGGUAGCAAGACUACAGCCUUGUCCAACUUACUGCAGUGAACCUAGGGGUAGCCGAAUGGUAGGCAAAUAAGGUUUUCAUUAUAAAAAGAAAGUAUGCCCAUCAGGAUAUAUUAUUCUCUCUUCACUUACCUUUAUUUUUUAUUUGGGGUUUUCCCUUCUUCCCAUGUGGUCUUGUUAAUUUCCUCCUUUUGUGCUUCUUUUAUUUGCCCUGGUGGUCUGGUGGCAGCAUUUUCGCCGCUUUAGAGGUAAGACACGGCCCCUAGUUUUAAGCAGCCUUCAUUCUGUACGGCGUCUUCCUCUGAGAAUGGGCAGAUAUGGACAUUGCAUUUGUGGACCGUGCAUUCGCACGCGCAUUCUGUAAAGGCAUACGUUUUCAAGGAUACACGAGGUCCGAAUUUGAUGAUGUGACGCCACUUUUUAGGCACCAAAUUCAAUAAUCUAGCUGCUGAGUUUCACUCAACCCAUGGAUUCUAUUUGCAACUCUUUCUCACAAGAAAGGCCUCAGGAGUUUGGAGAUUUUGGAUUUUAACAGACUGGAUCAGCAUCUAAACAUACCCAAAUUCAAGAUGGCAUCUUUGCAAUCUUUCAUAAAGGCUGUCUUUUCAUACCAAUGGAUGAUGUUAAUAGACUUGGUAGACACUUACUUUCACAUACCCAUUAUUCCUCAACAUCAGAAGUUCCUCAGAAUUGCUGUAGAACAAGCAUGUCAAACUUGCGGGCCGCAUGCGGCCCACAAGGACCAUCUUUACGGCCCAGCGAGCCGCGAGUACAUGCUGGUGUUAUAGCAGAGUAGGCACCUGCUUUCCCCACAUUUCAGGUGCCUACUCUGCUAACACUUACCUGGCCGGGGAGGAGGGCCAGCGAGGGAGCUAAGUGUUCCUGCUUCUCAAUGCUACCUCCUGCACGCCAUCUGUGAAGCCGGGUGCCGGAAUAUGACGUCAUAUUCCGGCACCCAGCAUCACUAAACAGCGCCAGCGAGCAGUGAGGAGCAGAUAGAAGGACCCCAGAGCAAUAAAGUAAAGUAUGUGUGUACAAGAAUGUGUGAAUGUGUGUGUGAGUGUCUGUCAGUGAGUGUUUGUGUGUCUGUGUGUGUGUAUGUGUGUGUCUGUCAGUGAGUGUGUGUGUGUCUCUCAGUGAGUGUCUCCACGCCAUAUCUGUUAAAGAACAGUUUUCCAACAAAGGCAGGGUUAUAUUGCAUACAGUUCCUGAAUUCCAGCCUAAGGUGACUUCCUCUUUUCAUAUUAAUGAGUAAAUUGUACUUCCAGCUUUACAAGAGAAACCUUCCCCCUUGAACUUGGUGAGAUGUUUUAAAAUAUACAUAGACCUAACUGCUUCUUGCUGUUUCUCUCAAAGACUUUUCAUUUUGCCUUGGGGAAAAAGGAGAGAUACUGCAGCCUCUAGACCUCCCAUCAGCAGAUGGAUUGUUUCUGCCACUAUAAAAUCAUUUCAAGCCUUGGGAGUUCCCUUUCCCCCUCUUGGGCUGUGGCUGCUAAAGUUUCCCUAGAACUAAUUUGUAGGGCAGCCACUUGUUCAUCAGCUAACUACAAUUUUCCUAAGGCAUAAUCUAUUGGAUGUUAAGGCCGGACAUUUUGAUCAAUUUGGAAAAAGUGUUCUUGCUGUUUCUAAUACUUUAUUCUCAUGUUUUGUGCUUGUGAAAUUUGGGUUUUGAGUAAUUAGGAUUUGAGUACUGCCAGAAGCUCUAGCUCUAGGAGGUUCGAAGGAGUGUUAGCUGCAAGGAAUGUCCAUUAUCCUUGAAUGUAUUUGUUUUGAAGACAGACUCUCCAUCCCCAUUGCCUGGCAUCUGUAGUUAUUAGAGCCCAAGUAAUGUUUACUAGGGGAAAUCCUCUGAAUGGGAAUUUAUUGUGUAGCCACCAACUAAGGGACUGGUGAACCUCAGCAGGAAUAUUUAAUAGGUUGUAACAGGUUCACUGAUCUGAACUGGCAAAACAAUUUGUUGUGAAAAAUCUCAUUCUCCAUUGUGCCCACCUUGUCAGACCUAGAGUGGAGGAAAUGGAACAUGUGAUUAAUAUUAAAAAUAAUAUUUAGUUAAAAAUGUUAAAAAAAUGUAUAUAUUUGCACUGUUAAUUUAAAGCUGAGAGUUACCCACUAUAGUUUUAACUCUCAUAGACCCUGGAGUACGUUUUUACUAGAGGAUUUGUAUUUCACACAUUAAUCACAAACCAAUUAUAAAAAUAUAAUUUAUUGUGAUAAUAAUUAAUAAUAAUAAUAAUAUGUAACAUGCGUGACAAAAAUCAGUGAAUAUUUGGGUAUAACACAAGUACACAAUAUGGCAGUUUAACACAGUUCUGAUAGCAAUAGCAACAUAUCGCGCUACGGAAUCUGUUGGCGCUAUAUAAAUGGCAAUAAUAAUAAUAAUAAUAAUAAUAUCCACAUAGAUGCAUAUUUCAACAGAUUUAUGACAGGACACUCUCUUGGAAAUCAGCUUGCUAAACAUUCCUUAACACAGGACUCUUCUCAUCAUCACAGCAGCACAGCGUAAUCAAUAAACUUUGGCUGACAGUCAAAUCACACUGAGUUAAUUAACUCAUUUACUGCUGACUACAAUUCUCACAGGCAAAAUACCUUUUAUAUUGCCACGACAAAUGCAAUAAUUCUCAUACCAGAUCAGUUAACCAUUCCUUCUCAUCCGAUGACCAAUAAGAAUAAUUCUAACCAGAUUUUAUGUUUUAACUUUCCUAAUUAAAGAUAACUAUCCCUAAUCCAGAUAAGUCAAAAUCUCUGGUUAAUUUCUGAUAUGCUAUUUCUUUUGUCAAUUUACCAAUAAAUAUAGUAUUCACUUAUUCUUUGUAAAUAUACUAUUAGCUUAUUCUUUCUGCAGUUAAGAAUUUGAAACAAUAUAUU
rnacentral:lncRNA from 1 species